UUAAAUUGAAGAGUUUGAUCAUGGCUCAGAUUGAACGCUGGCGGCAGGCYUAACACAUGCAAGUCGAGCGGCAGCGGGMAAGUAGCUUGCUACUUUUGCCGGCGAGCGGCGGACGGGUGAGUAAYGCSUGGGAAWYURCCYAGGMGWGGGGGAYAACAGUUGGAAACGAMUGCUAAUACCGCAUACGCCCUACGGGGGAAAGCAGGGGAYCUUCGGRCCUUGCGCUAAUAGAUGAGCCUAAGUCAGAUUAGCUAGWUGGUGGGGUAAAGGCCUACCAUGGCGACGAUCUAUAGCUGGUCUGAGAGGAUGAUCAGCCACACUGGGAC
rnacentral:rRNA from 1 species